AUAAUUUUUUUAGUUCUCUAUCAUUGUUAGUAAUGUAUUUAGAGUUUUGUUUUUAUUUUCUAUUCUGUUUUGCUUUCUAUUUUAUUUUCUUUGCAACCAAACAUGGAUAAAAAGGAGAGAUCCACUGCCAUAUUUGACUAAUUUUGUGUGAUGAAGGUAGAUAAGCUGGACAAGGAGUAUUAAUAUCACGAGAAAUUUUGAUUGGCUUAGAUCUAUAUUUUUGUGGUUGAAUCAGUAGGUAAGGAUACUUUAUUUAGUUCAACUUAGAUAGGAUUUACAAAAAAACAUGUAAAGCCCUCUUGUUGUCGUCCUGGUGGCGGAGUAGCAUCGAUGGUGUCGACAUGACAGUGGUGGCGGUGGUGGUUCUAGAAGAAUUCAUCUGUUGAAUAAAAUGGAGGCGGUUUGGGGCUAUGAGACGAAUUCGUCCCAAGCACUCGGAGACGGCUCUCUCUGCGCUGCCUGGCCUCUUGCCUCAACUCUCCUCCGAUGUCUUCUCUCAAUUCGAUCAACCUAUCUAGGUAUUGGUGGGUUAAAGGGUGUUCAGAAGAAGGGCAUUGAUAGAUGAUUUGUAUCUUUCUUCAUUAUUUUGCUGUAUAGUUUGUCUUUUAAUGCAUAUUUUACUAUUUUGGCUCCUUUCUGUGUGUUGCUGUAUGGAUUGCAUUUCAAACCUUGAUCACUGUAUGGGUGGUAUAUUCACCUAAAAUCUGCACAAAGAUUAUAAAUGAUAGAAUAUUAGUGAGCAUAACUAUCUACCAUAAUACCACAUCCCUUUUUCUUAUGUAGCCCUUGUUUUUCUACUCUAUUUUCUCUUUAUUUUAAUUCAAUGUUUUAGUUCAAAU